rnacentral:pre_miRNA from 1 species
UUAACUCAAAUUUAUAUGAAGUUGGAACGUUUGCCUACGUUUGCCGCUAAGGGCGUUGUUCCAACUGCAUAGAGAUUUGAGUUA